rnacentral:rRNA from 1 species
UACGGAGGGGGCGAGCGUUAUUCGGAAUUAUUGGGCGUAAAGGGCGCGUAGGCGGCUGUACAAGUCAAAGGUGAAAUCCCUCGGCUCAACUGAGGAACUGCCUUUGAAACUGUACGCUUGAGGCCGGGAGGGGUAGCGGAAUUCCCAAUGUAGCGGUGAAAUGCGUAGAUAUUGGGAGGAACACCAGUGGCGAAGGCGGCUACCUGGACCGGUUCUGACGCUGAUGCGCGAAAGCGUGGGUAGCAAACAGG